UGUACAAUCCCAUGACAUAUUGUUGGGCUCGAAAGACUUUUAUUUGAAGAGUGAAUAAAAUAGAAUUCACCCAGGCAAGAUGUCUGCUCUUCUAACCUUUUAUCAAACAAAUAAGAAUUCAGGAAUAUGGUCCAGAUGUUUUCCCUUCUAGAAGAUGUGGACUCUCAGGAUGAAGUAGUUGGAAAUCUUAACGUACACAUCUAAAUAACUGAAAAGUUCUAAGUCGUCUCUAGCAUCUGUGGAGCUGAAUCCCACACAGAUUGUGAACCCCCUGAGAGCAAACUCAAUGCCUCUGCCAAACUGAAGAUACACGUGUGAUUACCAGCCUCCAAGAUGGCCUCCAGUUAUCCUUGCCUCUGGUAUUCAGGAUAUCCUUGCCUCUGGGCUAACCUGUGUGACCAAAAGAAUACUAAGAAAGUGACAAUAUGGGACUUCCUGCCUUGGCCUUCUGGGUGGCUUCCUUUGGGGGAAAGCAGCUGCCACAUUGUGAGGUCACUCAAGUAGCCCAGUGGAGAAGCACUGAGGCCUCUUCUAACAACCAGCACCAAUUUGCCAGCCACAUGAGCGAGUCAUCUUAGAAGCAGAUCUUUAAGGCCCAGUCCAGCCUUUGGUUGACUUCAGCCUGCCAAUAUCUGACUACGACCUCAUCAGAGACCCAUAAGCCAAGCCAGAACUGCUCGGCCUAGCCAGCCCCAAAUUCCUGAUCCAGAGGAACAAUGAGAGAUAACAAAUGAGUAUUGUUGUUUCAGCCACUAAGUUUUUGGGUGGUUUGUUAUGCAGCAUUAGAUAAUGAAUGCAAAUACCUAUAUUUUAGUUACUUGAAGAGGAUGCUCAACCUAGCAACUAAAUUCCUGCUUCUCAGCCAUAUUUGACUUCACUGUGAAUCCACAUAACAUCAUCAGCCUAUCAACAAGUGCUUAUUGAUCACAUGCUAUAUAGCAAACAGUGCUAAAGCAGCUGGAGAUGCAGAGCUCUGCAAGUUAUGACCCUGCUCUCAUAGCUCUUGAUGUAGUUUGGUAGACAAUAGCUCUUGAUAUAGUUUAGGAGACAAAUAAGAGCGUGUGAAAAGUUAACAACAUAAGAUAGAGAUUUAAGGAUGAUGAUUUCAGAGGAACGCAAUGGAUCUUAGGUUUGCUUACCAUGAGAAGUUUUCAUGGUAGAGAUGGUCAGGGACCUACAUGAAAACAUGGCCUAGAUCUAGAAUACUUGUGGUUCUCAAAUGUGAGAGUGCAUCAGAACCACCUGGAGAGCUUGUUAAAACUCAGAUUUCUAGGGCUUCCCUGGUGGCGCAGUGGUUGAGAGUCCGCCUGCCGAUGCAGGGGACGCGGGUUCACGCCCCAGUCCGGGAGAAUCCCACAUGCCCCAGCGCAGCUGGGCCCGUGAGCCAUGGCCGCUGAGCCUGUGCGUCCAGAGCCUGUGCUCCGCAACGGGAGAGGCCACAACAGUGAGGGGCCCGCGUACCACAAAAAAAAAAAAAACCAACUCAGAUUUCUAGCCCCACAGCCUCUGAUUCAGUCAGUCUGGGGUGGGGUCCAAGAAUUUGCAUUUCUAACAAGUUCCCAGAUGAUGCUGAUGCUGCGGUAGAGGGACCACACACUUUGAGAAGCCACAUUCCUCUAGAUGUCUGCUACUUAAGUCUGGUCCACACACCAGCAGCAUCAGUAUCUCCUGGAAGCUUGUUAGAAAUAUAGAUUCUCAGGCCCCAUCUCAUACCUACUGAAUCAGAAUCUGCAUGUUAACAAGCUCCCAGGUAACUCGUGCACAUUGAAGUUUAAGAAGCACCGCUGCAGAGGAAAGGUCAUGUUCCCUUCAACAAGCUGGGCAAGGACUGUAUUUGCUGAGCACAUCUGAGGUCAGGCAUGGCCUGUGUAUAUGAGAGAAUUCUUCUCUAUGGUCAGCCCAUUUUGGUUUCAUUGAUUUUCUCAGGCAGACCAUUUUUUUCACUCAUUGAUUUUUGCCGCAGCAGGAGCCUUCCUCAUCAGUUCUCUGCAGAUAAUUUCAAUUCAUUUUGAUUCAUUUCCUCACUAGCUUGGCACUUCUCCCUUGGCACUAGGCAGUGCAACUAAUUGUGCUUGCCUGAGAGUGACUGGGUAUGAGACAACCGUGGAAAACUGCAAGGGGUCAUGGGGAUACUGCCCUGUGCAAAAGCGGAGAGGCCUGGAUGCCUUCUGGAAAGCCAGGGAAUUUGAACCUAGCCAGGCUUGGAAGCCCAGUGGUGUUCCUGCUGUUUGCUAAGUGAGAAGCUGGUGACAAAAUGAGUGUGUCUGUGGCAAUGCUUUGAACACAACUGAAAAAUUCUAUGCUAACCCAUGGAGGAAUGGGCUGUUUUCCACUGGUGAUUAUGAGAUAGAUGUCAUGACAUCAGCUGCCCUAAUGUUCAGAAUUUUUUCUUGGGCCUUUUGUGCUCACACUAAGGCCAAGCUGCUCCCAUGAAUAAAGGAGGCUGCUGUGUCUGUGUUAUGUCAAGAUGAGGAAAGAAAACCCUGCUUCUCAAAUCUUCUGAUCCCAAAUUUUCCUUUUUUCUUCUCUUUUUUGUGGGUUUUCACAUUUUAACCCAUUGAUUGAAAUCACAUGUUAGCUACAUUCUGGGAGUAACAAGCUCUCUCUAAAAAGCUUCUUUUUUUUUUUUUUUUCUUUUCCCCCUUUGGUCUCAUUGGUUUCCAGACUCAUCAAGUUGUGUACGUUAAAUAUGUACGGCUCUUCAUAUGUCAAUCAUAUCUCAAUAAAAAUGGUUUAAAAAAUAAAUAAAAGGCAUUUCCUCCCCUUCAUACAAUAGUCAUUUAGCAAACAUUUCUGUCUUCAGGUUGACAAAGAUGAUCUCCUUAAGGAGGAGAGACACACUUAUUUUCGAAAACUAAAAUAGUGUGAUAUGUAUAAUAUAUAAAUACUGCUGAACUUACACAACCAUUCGGUUCUCUUAGGCAGAGCUUCCCAAAUUUUCUCUGUUCACAGCACCACAGGCCGAAAGAAAUAUCUAACAGUUCCACUUAUUAAGUAGUUAAGUUCAAACAACUUAAUAAUAUUUGUGUCUUAUAAACUUGGUAGCUAUUUAAAGAAAUAAACAUAAAUCAAAAGAAAAAAAUAUUUUGAGAUGACCAUGCUUACUAAUGGGAUGUGUGCACCAACUGGGAACUUCACAGCUUCUCACAUUUGGGAAGCAGAUUGAAGACUGUCACCCUUCAUUUCCUGUUCCAUAGUGAUUUUUCUGAUCUAAUGCUAAAAACUGGGAAUGAGCUCAAGCUAGUAUUUUGUACGUCUGGCAGUUGUUGAGUGCCUCUGUGUUUCUCUUAAAAAGGUAAAAUAUCUCAUGGCGUCUCUGUGAGUUUGCUGGGAUGCCCCAGGAGCCAUGGCCAUGAAGUCUUAGGUAAAUGUUGCAGAAAUAUGCAACUCAAUAACCCUGGAGCCCCACCUUGCCCAAUCUCCUCAUGGACUCAAAUUUAGGGAAGCACAUUCCAAUGAAAAAAUGUAGUUAAAAAUAGAGGGUUUUUUCCUGAUGUUGAGAUGCACUAUCCCGUUUAAUUCAAACCUUCACUCAUUUUAAGGUCUCCGAUAUUGCACAGUAGAUAAUUUUUUGUCAUAAAUUUAUUUAUUGUGACAUAUGUACAGUAAAAAGAACAUAUCAGCAAACCUCAGCUUGCUGACUUUUUACGAAGAUGAACACUAUUGACAUUUGGGCUGGAUGAUUCUGUGUUGAGGGGGCUGCCCUGUGCCAUGUAGGAUGUUUAGCGGCAGCAUCCCUGGCCUCUACCUUCUAGGUACCAGUAGCAUGCCCACCGAAGUCAUGACAGCUAAAAAUGUCACCAGAGUUGUCGGCUGGGGCAAAAUCACCCCCACUUGAGAAGCACUGGCCUGUACUCAUGUAACUACCACCUUAUGGUGGCAAGAUUUAGCAAAUCCACCCAGUUUAUAAGACACCCAGUUAAAUUUGAAUUUCAGAUAAACAAUCUUUUUUUUUUUUUUUUUGCGGUACGCGGGCCUCUCUCGUGGAGCACAGGCUCCGGACGCGCAGGCUCAGCGGCCAUGGCUCUCGGGCCCAGCCGCUCCGCGGCAUGUGGGAUCUUCCCGGACCAGGGCACGAACCCGUGUCGCCUGCAUCGGCAGGCGGACUCCCAACCACUGCGCCACCGGGGAAGCCCAGAUAAACAAUCUUUUUUGAUAUUCAUUGUCCCAAAUAUUUAACCGAGUUUCCUAUAUUUUACCUGGCAAGCCUAUACCCCUCCCCACCCCAGAUUAAGAUACGGAACGUUUCCAGAACCCCAAAAGGCCCCUUUCUGCUCCUUCUCAGUCAAUACCCUCACCUCACGGAAAGCGCCAUUUUUUUUUUUUUUUUUUUUUUUGUGGCGGUACGUGGGUCUCUCACCGCGGCGGCCUCUCCCACCGCGGAGCGCAGGCCCCGGACGCGCAGGCUCAGCGGCCACGGCUCACGGGCCCAGCCGCUCCGCGGCACGCGGGAUCCUCUCGGACCGGAGCACGAACCCGUGUCCCCUGCCUCGGCAGGCGGACUCCCAACCACUGCACCACCAGGGAAGCCCAGGACAGCCCCAUUUUGCAUGAAGUAAAUCUUUAUGUUCUCGCGAGAUCCGCAGCCACAUUUAGCGACGCCUCCCUCUGUUGCCCCAUCUUUCUCUGCCCGGAACGG